UCAAUAUCUUAAAAAAAAUAUCGCAUAAUUUAAUUAAUAAUAUAUUGUAUGCACAAAUAAUUAUUUUUUUAUCGUAAGAUAAAGAAUUUAUUAAUUAAAUUGAUAUAGAGCAUCAUCUUACAUAUGAUCAGAUUAAAAAAUCCAAUAAAAGAAGUUAAUUUUUAAAGCUAAAAUUGAUCGGUUAUGUCCAUACCGAUGGAAGAGACCCAUCGUAAAACUAAAACUUCCUUUUGAUAAUCGAAACGCCCUCACCAACAAAUAAGCUAUGGAGAUCAUCCCCGGAAAAUUUUACCAGACUUAUCGAAGCACAAAAUAAAAGAAAAAAUGCAUAUAAAUCCUGAAAAAAUAUAUCUAACUCCAUAGCCAGUUUAAUCAAACCAUCCUCAUAUUAAUGUAGGCAUCGACGAAAGGAGAAGACACAAUACUAUUCAGCGACCUGUUUGCAUCUUUCAAAAUUCAUCUCUUCUAGUCCUCACCAUCAAUAUCUAGUGAGAAAAGGAAGCUGUGAUCGAUCUAGAUAGAAAUGCAUAUCCAUGCAAUCAAACACACAACCAAAAUACAUGGUAAAAAGAAAAAAUUCAUCUUGUUCUCCACAGCUCUUCCAAACAAGAAAAAUCAACAACAAAAAAACAAUUAAAAAAUAAAUCUAAAAAGACCACCUAAAAAUGGAGAGGAAACCCACUCUCCGAACAACAAGGAAGGAGCUCCUUCUAUUAGGCAGGAAAAGCCGAUGAGGUAGUAGACAAAGGGACUUUUUUUUAAAGAAGCGAAA
rnacentral:lncRNA from 1 species